UCACCAUCGCGACUGUAUCGGUCGAACCUGGUCAGGGCCGGAAGGCAGCAGCCAUAAGAUUUGGUGCAGGGUGCGAUGGCUUUUU
rnacentral:SRP_RNA from 1 species